rnacentral:rRNA from 1 species
UACGUAGGGUGCGAGCGUUAAUCGGAAUUACUGGGCGUAAAGCGUGCGCAGGCGGCUAUGCAAGACAGGUGUGAAAUCCCCGGGCUCAACCUGGGAAUUGCAUUUGAGACUGAAUAGCUAGGGUGCGGAAGAGGGAAGCGGAAUUUCCGGUGUAGCGGUGAAAUGCGUAGAUAUCGGAAGGAACACCAGUGGCGAAAGCGGCUUCCUGGUCCAGCACCGACGUUCAGGCACGAAAGCGUGGGGAGCAAACAGG